CCUACGGGCGGCAGCAGUGAGGAAUAUUGGUCAAUGGCCGGAAGGCUGAACCAGCCAUGCCGCGUGAAGGUCAGUGCCCUAUGGGCGUUAAACUUCUUUUGUGCGGGAGCAAUAAUGGUCACGUGUGGCCAGACGAGAGUACCGUACGAAUAAGCAUCGGCUACCGCCGUGCCAGCAGCCGCGGUAAUACGGGGGAUGCAAGCGUUAUCCGGGUUUAUUGGGUUUAAAGGGUGCGUAGGCUGUGAGGUAAGUCAGCGGUGAAAUGCCCCCGCUCAACGGGGUGAAGUGCCAUUGAUACUGGCUGGCUGGAAUGCGGAUGCGGUGGGAGGAAUGGGUGGUGUAGCGGUGAAAUGCAUAGAUAUCACACAGAACACCGAUUGCGAAGGCAUCUCACGAAUCCGCGAUUGACGCUGAUGCACGAAAGCGUGGGUAUCAAACAGGAUUAGAUACCCCAGUAGUC
rnacentral:rRNA from 1 species